rnacentral:rRNA from 1 species
CCUACGGGAGGCAGCAGUGGGGAAUCUUGCGCAAUGGGGGAAACCCUGACGCAGCAACGCCGCGUGGGUGAUGAAGGCCUUCGGGUCGUAAAGCCCUGUCAGGUGGGAAGAAACUUGUGGAUGUCAACACCAUCCAUGCUUGACGGUACCACCGGAGGAAGCACCGGCUAACUCCGUGCCAGCAGCCGCGGUAAUACGGAGGGUGCAAGCGUUGUUCGGAAUUAUUGGGCGUAAAGCGCGUGUAGGUGGUCGUGUAAGUCAGAUGUGAAAGCCUUCUGCUUAACAGAAGAAGUGCAUUUGAAACUGCUCGGCUAGAGUACGGGAGAGGAGAGUGGAAUUCCCGGUGUAGAGGUGAAAUUCGUAGAUAUCGGGAGGAACACCAGUGGCGAAGGCGGCUCUCUGGUCCGAUACUGACGCUGAGACGCGAAAGCGUGGGGAGCAAACAGGAUUAGAUACCCUGGUAGUCCACGCCGUAAACGAUGGGCACUAGGUGUAGGAGGUAUUGACCCCUUCUGUGCCGAAGCUAACGCAUUAAGUGCCCCGCCUGGGGAGUACGGCCGCAAGGCUAAAACUUAAAGGAAUUGACGG